AUGAACGCUGGCGGCGUGCCUAACACAUGCAAGUCGAACGGAGUCCAGCCUUUAAGACCUUCGGGUCAAAGAGGGGAAGACUGAGUGGCGGACGGGUGAGUAACACGUGGGCAACCUGGCUCAUAGAGGGGGAUAACAGAGAGAAAUUUCUGCUAAUACCGCAUAAGCACACACUGCCGCAUGGCAGAGGGUGAAAAGAGAAUCGCUAUGAGAUGGACCCGCGUCUGAUUAGCCAGUUGGCAGGGUAAGAGCCUACCAAAGCGACGAUCAGUAGCCGAUCUGAGAGGAUGAACGGCCACAUUGGGACUGAGACACGGCCCAAACUCCUACGGGAGGCAGCAGUGGGGGAUAUUGCACAACGGGGGGAACCCUGAUGCAGCGACGCCGCGUGAGUGAAGAAGUAUUUCGGUAUGUAAAGCUCUAUCAGCAGGGAAGAUAAUGACAGUACCUGAAGAAGAAGCCCCGGCUAACUACGUG
rnacentral:rRNA from 1 species